UACGUAGGGAGCAAGCGUUGUCCGGAAUCAUUGGGCGUAAAGAGCGUGUAGGCGGUCCGGUAAGUCCGCUGUGAAAGUCGGGGGCUCAACCCUCGAAUGCCGGUGGAUACUGUCGGGCUAGAGUGCGGAAGAGGCGAGUGGAAUUCCUGGUGUAGCGGUGAAAUGACGCAGAUAUCAGGAGGAACACCUAUUGCGAAGGCAGCUCGCUGGGACGUAACUGACGCUGAGACGCGAAAGCGUGGGGAGCAAACAGG
rnacentral:rRNA from 1 species